GAAAAACCAUCAAGUAGGACAUGCCAAUGUUUUUCCUGGCUUCAAAACAUGAACGUUUCAAAAUUUGGGGUCCCUACGCCGUAAAUCUGAGAAGUGCCGCCCACCCGCUGCUGCAUCACACUCUUGCGCUGUUUUUAUUGGACUUUGGGAGGUAAUUUAGAAUGCUGGCAACUGGUUAACUGUAAGAUAUCAAUCUAUUUCUAGUUUGAUAUGAAGUUCAAGUGUAAAAAAGUGCAAGUGUGCAAGUUUUUGUGCAAGUGUGAAGGUGUGCUAUAUCAAAUAAAAGUUAGAUUUAUCACAGUGAGCCAAACGUUCAUUUUCCCUAAAACAUAGAUUAUGUAAUACUUCCAGUACUUAAAACUUUGCUAAACAUUCGUAACUUCAUCAGAGCUAAUUAAAAACUUUCAGAUACGCCUUUGAUCACACACAGUUUAAAACUCUUAAUUAAAUUAACUUAAGACGUCAUCGACAACGUUAUGGAAACAUAAAAUAACUUGACUAAGUCACUUUUAAGUGCAAGUACACAAGGAGUGUGGGGAUAGUGGGUGCUCGGCACAUUUGUGAGACAAUUGUAGGAACUUAUAGCCAGCACACCUGGCUCACGAUUUAACCCUUAAGAUGAGAGUAAAUAAGGUUUAUUCUAAAAAUGCAUGUUUAUAUUUUCUCAAGUACAAUUCUCGUCAUUAAGCUGUCGCACGAUAUUAAAGUUUUAAUACCAGAGAUAUGGAAGUAUGUAGUCGUGUUGAUCGUAAAGAGAAUGCGUUUAUUCUCGAAACUGUGUCGCGCUGUUACUCCAUAAAAUGUGUUUCAUAGAGUGCUUGCUACCCUUUCAUAGGGUGUCGGCUAUUCGUGUUGACGUUUGAAUGGCGAGAUGCCAUUUUGUUCUCGUUGCGUAUAUUCUGCAUUUCUGUAAAUAUCAUCAUUAUAUUUACAUGUAAAUUUUCAAAAUCAAUGAUGUUACCUUGCUUGUUUAAAAAAAUUACAUAACCGCAAAGGAUAAAUUGUUUUUAACGUUCAAGUUUAAUUAAUGUGUAAGUACUUAUAUGAACAAACGUAAAGUAAAAACAUAUGAAUAAACUUGAAUACGUACAAUAUACAUUACCAACAGAGGUUUUGUAAUGACCAAAUCAUAAACUUCAAUGUACCUAAGAAAGUUUCACUCAAAGUUCGCGUAAGCCGUGUGAAAUUGCGCAGAGCGGUAGCGUGGUCGUAGCAGUCUAUGAUCGUAGAUACAGUUCGUAGUCUUUGCUACGCGACUCGUAGCGCUGAGCUGAAAAAUGUACCUAUACGCGUUAACUUCAAACCUAUGUGAUUGUGUGAUGAGCAAAAUCAAGAUCACAGAAAUUACAUUUAAUAUAUUAUUUUAGCCAGUAACAGUGCAUAUUUUUUGUAAAGAUAAAUAUGUUCUUGUAAAAUUAAGUUCUCUAAAAAUCCAUUCUGCAAUCGUAAGAUUUUUGAUGACAUUACAAUACAAACUUCUUUGCUUAAAAGUGAAGACAAGAAUUUAUAUCAGAAGCGAACACUGCUAAUAAAUGGUCACUAAAAAGUUAUUUAAAUGUUAUUCUGGUCGUCUUUAGACGAAAACUUAUAUAAAUGGCAGAAUUAACAUUCUUAGAUAACACACUUGCGUGAUAUUAUUAUAAUUUGUUUAUUUAUAUGUCGUUAAAAUUGUUUAAUUGUUAUUUUAUAGCCGCGUGGUCUGGGCCACGAAUUAAAAAUGUAUCUAGGUGUCCACUUCUAUAUUAUAAUGAAUGUUCAUAUGAAAUCUUCAUAUAAACAUGGUAUUAUUAAUAGUUUAGUUGUACAGUAAUACUUUGAAAUAUUAAAGGACGUAUUCAACAAAUGUACUGAAUUCACACGCUGUUUGAAUAAUAAAAGAAAGAAAAUAAAAGAUUUUGUUCCUUUAUGAUGACACCUAAUACCUACAUGUUUACCGAAAAAUGACAGUCACAGAUUUUAAGGAAGGUGUGUUGAGACCCGAGGUUAGUCGAGGAUCGCAAACACACGACUUGUGAAUCAUACUUUCUUUAGAGUGAUACUUAUUGCUUUAUAGUAUACCUGCGUAUGACGAUAAUAAAAAAAAAAGAUUAAAAUACAAUUUCUGUUGCAUAAUUACAACAACGUUCAUCAAAUAUUCACAUUCGCAGUACCUAGUUCCUAUUUUUUAAAUAUAAAAUCAUAUUUUCUGCCAGUCUGUAUUAUAAAAAUAUUUCUAGGAGUUUGAAAAAUAAAUGAUUCAUUCAUUUUUCUUUUUAAUUUGUCAAAUUGAAACUGGCCGCCAUACUUCGCGGUGGUCUGCGUUUGCACCGUUAGCUUUAAAUUUACAUGUGGCUGUUUGAAUACUUAAAUUAAAUAGCAAUUUCCAUUUAAAUCGGACCGUUUACUGGCAAUGUAUUAAGCCAUCUAAUACAUUUAACGAUGCCACGUUUGGUAAUCCUGUGAAUCUCUCUGUCAGAAACAGCAGGGUGCUACAUUUCAACCAUUUAAUUUGAAUUAUGCUCUGAUAUAUUUAAAAGCCCGUUAAAAAGUAAUAAAAGUGUAAUAGACUUCUAAAUAAGUUGUUUUAAAUGUUUUCGGCUAUUGUAACGGAUGUUAAGUAAUUGAUUCGUAACUGACAUAACUUAGUUGAUAUUAGUCCUAAUAUUAUUUUUCAAUGGAAUUGUAAUUGAAUAGCGUUACUGUUAAUGCUAUAUAAUUUAAAUAUAUACUAUUAUAUAUCUGUAGUAAUAGUGGUAGGAAUUUAUGUUGAUUUCUCUAUUUCUACUGUCUGUAUGAA